UGGGGAAUUUUGCACAAUGGGGGAAACCCUGAUGCAGCGACGCCGCGUGAUUUAGAAGGCCUUCGGGUUGUAAAAAUCUUUUCUAUGGGAAGAAAAUGACAGUACCAUAGGAAUAAGGACCGGCUAAUUACGUGCCAGCAGCCGCGGUAAUACGUAAGGUCCGAGCGUUGUCCGGAAUCAUUGGGCGUAAAGGGUACGUAGGCGGGUAAGCAAGUUAGAAGUGAAAUCCUAUAGCUCAACUAUAGUAAGCUUUUAAAACUGCUCAUCUUGAGGUAUGGAAGGGAAAGUGGAAUUCCUAGUGUAGCGGUGAAAUGCGCAGAUAUUAGGAGGAAUACCGGUGGCGAAGGCGACUUUCUGGGCAUAACCUGACGCUGAGGUACGAAAGCGUGGGUAGCAAACAGG
rnacentral:rRNA from 1 species